rnacentral:rRNA from 1 species
GACGAACGCUGGCGGCGUGCUUAACACAUGCAAGUCGAACGGAGUGGCGAACGGGUGAGUAACACGUGGGUGACCUGCCCUGUACUUCGGGGUAAGCCUGGGAAACUGGGUUUAAUAACGGAUAGUGUGGGAUGGGAUCGGGGCAUAUCGGCUUGUUGGUGGGGUAAGGGCCUACCAAGGCGGGGACAGGUAGCCGGCCUGAGAGGGUGGACAGCCACAAUGGGACUGCGAUACGUCCCAGACUCCUACGGGAGGCAGCAGUGGGGAAUAUUGCACAAUGGGCGGAAGCCUGAUGCGGCGACGCCGCGUGGGGGAUGACGGCCUUCGGGUUGUAAACUCCUUUCACCAUCGACGCGGUAGAUGGAGAAGAAGCACCGGCUAACUACGUGCCAGCAGCCGCGGUAAUUC